rnacentral:rRNA from 1 species
CAAGUCGAACGAGAAAGUGGAGCAAUCCAUGAGUAAAGUGGCGCACGGGUGAGUAACACGUGACUAACCUACCCUUGAGUGGGGAAUAACCUAGGGAAACCUGGGCUAAUACCGCAUAACACCUACGGGUCAAAGGAGCAAUUCGCUUAAGGAGGGGGUCGCGGCAGAUUAGCUAGUUGGCGGGGUAAUGGCCCACCAAGGCGGUGAUCUGUAUCCGGCCUGAGAGGGCGCACGGACACACUGGAACUGAAACACGGUCCAGACUCCUACGGGAGGCAGCAGUGGGGAAUUUUGCGCAAUGGGGGAAACCCUGACGCAGCAACGCCGCGUGGAGGAUGAAGUCCCUUGGGACGUAAACUCCUUUCGAUCGGGACGAUUAUGACGGUACCGGAGGAAGAAGCCCCGGCUAACUUCGUGCCAGCAGCCGCGGUAAUACGAGGGGGGCAAGCGUUGUUCGGAAUUAUUGGGCGUAAAGGGUGCGUAGGCGGUUCGGUAAGUCUUAUGUGAAAUCUUCAGGCUCAACUUGAAGUCUGCAUGAGAAACUGCCGGGCUUGAGUGUGGGAGAGGUGAGUGGAAUUUCCGGUGUAGCGGUGAAAUGCGUAGAUAUCGGAAGGAACACCUGUGGCGAAAGCGGCUCACUGGACCAUAACUGACGCUGAUGCACGAAAGCUAGGGGAGCAAACAGGAUUAGAUACCCUGGUAGUCCUAGCCCUAAACGAUGAUCGCUUGGUGUGACGGGUACCCAAUCCCGCCGUGCCGAAGCUAACGCGUUAAGCGAUCCGCCUGGGGAGUACGGUCGCAAGGCUGAAACUCAAAGGAAUUGACUGGGGCCCGCACAAGCGGUGGAGCAUGUGGUUUAAUUCGACGCAACGCGAGAACCUUACCUGGGCUCGAAAUGUACAGGAAUCCAGGUGGAAACAUCGGCGCCCGCAAGGGGCCUGUAUAUA